rnacentral:rRNA from 1 species
ACGCUCGACACCUACGGGAGGCAGCAGUGGGGAAUAUUGCACAAUGGGGGAAACCCUGAUGCAGCGACGCCGCGUGGAGGAAGAAGGUCUUCGGAUUGUAAACUCCUGUUGUUGGGGAAAAAGAGGAUGGUACCCAAACAAGGAAGUGACGGCUAACUACGUGCCACAGCCGCGGUAAUCUGAGCGGGCUGGCAAGGC